UCCCGGUUGGCCCGGGCAGUCUCGCAUGAAAUAUACAACAUACGACAAGGGUUGCGCUCGUUGCGGGACUUAACCCAACAUCUCACGACACGAGCUGACGACGGCCAUGCAGCACCUGUCACUGCGCUCCUUACGGCACUCCUCUGUUUCCAGUGGAUUCGCAGGAUGUCAAGCCUCGGUAAGGUUCUACGCGUACCGUCAUAUUAAACCACAUGAUCCACCGCUUGUGCGGGUCCCCGUCAAUUCCUUUGAGUUUUAGCCUUGCGGCCGUACUUCCCAGGCGGCAUACUUAUCGCGUUAGCUGCGUCGCACAGGGGGUCGAUACCCCAUACGACUAGUAUGCAUCGUUUACGGCGUGGACUAC
rnacentral:misc_RNA from 1 species